rnacentral:rRNA from 1 species
UGUGAGGCAUGCUGGAGGUAUCAGAAGUGCGAAUGCUGACAUAAGUAACGAUAAAGCGGGUGAAAAGCCCGCUCGCCGGAAGACCAAGGGUUCCUGUCCAACGUUAAUCGGGGCAGGGUGAGUCGACCCCUAAGGCGAGGCCGAAAGGCGUAGUCGAUGGGAAACAGGUUAAUAUUCCUGUACUUGGUGUUACUGCGAAGGGGGG